CCGACCUUAGCUCAGUUGGUAGAGCGGAGGACUGUAGUGUGAUAUGCUGAAAUCCUUAGGUCGCUGGUUCGAAUCCGGCAGGUCGGA
rnacentral:tRNA from 11 species